rnacentral:rRNA from 1 species
CCUACGGGUGGCUGCAGUGGGGAAUAUUGGACAAUGGGGGGAACCCUGAUCCAGCCAUGCCGCGUGUGUGAAGAAGGCCCUCGGGUUGUAAAGCACUUUCAGUGAGGAAGAACGCCUGGUGGUUAAUACCCAUCAGGAAAGACAUCACUCACAGAAGAAGCACCGGCUAACUCCGUGCCAGCAGCCGCGGUAAUACGGAGGGUGCGAGCGUUAAUCGGAAUUACUGGGCGUAAAGCGCGCGUAGGUGGCUUGAUAAGCCGGUUGUGAAAGCCCCGGGCUCAACCUGGGAACGGCAUCCGGAACUGUCAAGCUAGAGUGUAGGAGAGGAAGGUAGAAUUCCCGGUGUAGCGGUGAAAUGCGUAGAGAUCGGGAGGAAUACCAGUGGCGAAGGCGGCCUUCUGGACUGACACUGACACUGAGGUGCGAAAGCGUGGGUAGCAAACAGGAUUAGAUACCCGAGUAGUC